GGACUGUAGGCUGCAACUCGCCUACACGAAGUCGGAAUCGCUAGUAAUCGCGGAUCAGCAUGCCGCGGUGAAUACGUUCCCGGGCCUUGUACACACCGCCCGUCACACCAUGGGAGUCGGUAACACCCGAAGCCUGUAGUCUAACCGCAAGGGGGACGCAGUCGAAGGUGGGAUUGAUGACUGGGGUGAAGUCGUAACAAGGUAGC
rnacentral:rRNA from 1 species